GAAAGCUUGAAAAGCUGUAUGAGGACAUAAAUGAGAUUGUACCCGCUCCACUGGUGCUAAGCACAGGUGUGAAGGGCAAGGUGAAGAAGAAAUAUGUCCUGUCAGAGAUUGAAGAGCAGAUUGAUGAGCUGAACACGAAAAUUUUUAAGACAGCGGCUCUUUGUCGGAACAGCAUGGAUUUAGCGGUCCCUACCAUGAGCGGAUCCACCCUAGACAUGGAUAAAGUUAUGAAGUGGCUAUCUACACUUCAAAUCGGGACAGAUAAAGACUCGAAGCUCCCAUUCGACUAUUCAAAGUCGUCGGGAUACAAAUCUGAUUGGCUUGAUUAAAGUCAUCAGCGUACCGGUUGGGGAAAAAGGCAUUUCAUUUUGUUUAUUACAAAUAAAAAGCUUCUUCGGUUAAUCAGUUCAACUCAAAAUUGUCUUUGGGCGUGAAUGGACAUGUGAGAACACGGAACUGUUAAUGUGCUCUGCAUUUGGCUUAUGACCAGUCCAGGGUGUUCGCCGCUUCUCACGCAAAAUUAU